ensembl:lncRNA
AUGCCGGACAGGUCACGUGGAGAGACUCUGCUUAAUUCCAAGGUUCUGAGUGUAAAACUUGUGUGUUUUGACAUUGCUAGGCCGCUGUUGAACAUCGGUUGUGCAGGUCAGGUACAGCUAAGCGUGACGACCUUAUACAAGAGGGCAACAGCACUCAAAAGAACCCAAACGAUGCAGCAGAACCUCUCCUCCUCUCAACCUAGCGUCCCUUCAACCCAGGGAGCUAAAAAAGAAGAUGCAUGAGGCACAACCAAUAAUAUGUCAUUGUAUCCACACCCCUCCCCUCCCCCUGCAUCUACCGCUCCGAUUUGACCUGCUCCAACCCAUCUAUCUACUUAACCUGACUAAGAAAGGUGAGAAUCACAGACACAACCAAGCACAUUUAGUCAACAUAGCUGCUGAUUUUAAAAUAUAAUACAUUUGGGUUUUUAAAAAAUUCAUCCUAUACAGGGAAAAGAGCUGACAAUUAAAACCACGUGUGGAAUGUAUUAAUUUGUGGGUUCAGAUAAUGUUCUGAGUGGAAACAGACUGUGCUGCCAUUGAUGUUACUACAGCACUCCAAUUUUAGAAGAGUCCUCAGCUUGGCAGAGAACCCAAUUCACCAGGAUGGUUCAGUAUAUCCCUGAAAUCAGCAAUUCAUUGAGUGAAAUUAGGAAGUUCAUAUACCGGUACUUUUUAAGCGCUUGUUUCUGUGGAGAAAACUGAUCAGUUUAACUUAUUCGCUCUACAAUAUCUCCUGUCUCGUGUUUGUCUUUAGGGUAAAAACGCCAAGGGAACAUAAAGAGCAUCUGGAAAUAUUAAGGCCAGAGUGAAUCUUCGCCUGCUUGAUCCCUCACAGGCAUCAUAAGUGUGGAGAUUCAGUCCGAGGGUGUCUGUGGAUCACAUGGAUCACACGCAAUGAUGCCAUUUCUGCUGUCUAUAGGCACCAUGCAGUGGCCAGAAUCUGCUCAAUCUCAUAACCAUUCUGGAGGUGAUUGUUGGGAUUAGACUGUCAGCAAAAUCUGUUAAUGGUGUCCAAUGGUGUUCUGGUAGUAGGGGAAGGUGCCAGAUAACCUUCAGAGCACUGCCAAGGUACCCUUGAGCAAGGUGCAGAACUGACAAAUGCUCAUAUAGGGCCUUGAACUGGAGACUCAUCCAGGGGUGGACACCUGCCUUCACUCACUGUGUACCCUCCCGCGAUAAAGCCGUUAAGAUGAGACACAGGUUGGGUUAGAAAAUGUUCUUUAUAUGCUGUAGAUUUUACUGUGGUGAAUAAAGUUUUUGCUUCUUCAUUUGGGCUUUUCUUAAUUAUUUUAAGUGUCACGUAAGCAGAAUGAUGUUUAUGUUAGACUGUACACAGCGCGUGAAUGCAGCCUUGCUAAAUUUGAAUGUUGCAUGUUCAGACUUACAUAAGCAUUUUCAAACAGUGUCUCUGUGUGUGUGUGUGUGCACGUGUGUGCGCCCGUAAAGGUGUGUGUUAGCAGUUAGAGCGUGGGAAUAUGGUGAAGGAUUUCUGUGGUAUUUAAAUGUUUGUUAUUAGAUAUUACCACAAGGGACCUUGACCAAACCCCCAGAUCUUCCUCCUCGUCUUCCUCUAAUAACAGAAAAGCCCAAGAAUCGCUUGAGGUGCGUAAAACUAUUGUUUAAAAAAAAAAAAGUCAAAGAAAUUUGGGGUCAUGCUGUAUAUAUGGGUGUAGGGUGAUUCUGAGGCGAACACUUCAGUAAAUAAAUAGUUAAAAUGUUUUAAUGUAAUUGGUUUUAUUUUGUGGACAGAAAUUUUUUAUAAAAGUUGUUUCACUCCCCUUAUUUUGAUGUAUUUUUCUGUGUAUUUUGAUGUGUUUCAAUGAUUUGAUCCAACCCCUAAACCUGCGUUUGCAUGGAUCAAAACCUUUUAAACUAACAUGACACUGCUCUCCAGUCCAGUUCUUCUGUCCUUAGCAGCUUAUCCAGAAUUUGAAUCUUGAAGGGGGGGUGUGUUUGAAUAAUCCCUGAUAAUUAAUUAAUGAAAG